GAGUGCAGUCGUGAAGGAUACCUACGCUUGUAACAGGAGCUGUGCCACAGUGUUAUGGUGACCAACUGAAAACUCUCUCAGAAUAGGAAACAACACUGCACGCAGGGGCCUGUUAGCUGAUUGGUCUGUGAGGUCCCCUGUUGCUCAUUGUUUUACAAACAACAAUGGGAAUUGGAUUAUGUAUUGCAUUGAACUGCUGCUGCUAAGUUAACAAAUUUCAACGACAAUGCCGGUGAUAAUAAGCCUGAUCCUGAUUCUGAAAGCUACUUGCUUGAAGACUGGACUGGAAAAAGAUAGGAGAAAGAAGAGAUGGGAGUUCCUUUAUGAAUGGGUAACCCAAGGGAAUUUUGGCUUUAUGUUGAAGGAUGGUGAAUUGACCAACUCAAACACACCAUUAAGGUGAGGCAAAUGAUCUCUAUCUCAAAACUAGGCACACACCCAUCUGUUUAAUCUUCAAACUGUUCAUAAAUUGGCACCAACUUCUCAAGCUCACUUGACAGUCCACUGACUCUCUGGGAAUUUCUGACUCAGUAAUGACUAACGUUUUUGUGACUGCAGCCAAGCUACCAUCAUAAAAACAAAAGCCGCAAAAUAAGGAUGCACAGAGAUGAAUACAGCUUUGUAAAUGCACUCACAGAAAAACCACAGGUUCAAAUUCUGGUGAGAAGGUAGAAGACUCUUCCAGUGGGUUUUUGUUGAGUAUAUUUUUUUCACAAUCUGACUGCAUGAAAACUCCACAAACAAGGAGCCUGAAACAAUCUUGACAUAAAGAUUAAGUAUUCGGAAAUGCCUUGAUCCUGACUAUGAUAUCCAGCAUGAUGCUGCUUUAUUAAGGAUAAAUCCAUCUGACGUGACAUCUAAUUUAUUUUUUUAAAUUGAAGUCUCCUGAUAAAUAACUGAAUAAAUCAGUUUAUUGCAUUGUAUCAGGCAGCAGACACCGCUGCUCAGACGUGCUGGAAGAACGAACCAGUCUCAACAUUUACUGCCCGGCUACUAUCGCAGUCUGCACCUCAGCUCCUGAAGAACAUUCCAUUCCCUUUAUCUCUCCAUAGAACGUGGAAUAUUUUAUAAUACUUGCAAUUUUUUGACAUAUUAUCAAGUUGUAACAUCUCCAGCAUGAAUUAUUGUUUGUGCUGUAGUUACGUAGGGAAAGCUUUCAACACAAUAAAGAAAUUGUUUUCUCCGAGCAAUAAAAUUAUGAAUAAGUGUAUGUCUUUGAAAUUAUGUAUCUGCUUGCAUGUGUCUGUAAGUUAACGUGCUUCUGUGUGUCUGUUCGCCUAUCUAUAAGAUAGUGUCUUGUGUUCCUGUUGGAUCGCACGUGAAGUUUUAUGUGUUUGCUUGUUUGUAUUUUAGUGUAUCUGUUGAAUUGAGUC